rnacentral:rRNA from 1 species
GACGAACGCUGGCGGCGUGCCUAAUACAUGCAAGUAGAACGCUGAAGGAGGAGCUUGCUUCUCCGGAUGAGUUGCGAACGGGUGAGUAACGCGUAGGUAACCUGCCUGGUAGCGGGGGAUAACUAUUGGAAACGAUAGCUAAUACCGCAUAAGAGUAGAUGUCGCAUGACAUUUGCUUAAAAGGUGCAACUGCACCACUACCAGAUGGACCUGCGUUGUAUUAGCUAGUUGGUGAGGUAACGGCUCACCAAGGCAACGAUACAUAGCCGACCUGAGAGGGGGAGGGGGCACAAUGGGACUGGGACAGGGGGCAGACGCCUGCGGGAGGGAGCAGGGGGGAAUGAUCGGCAAUGGAGGGAAGGAUGAACGAGCAAGGGGGAGUGAGUGAAGGAGGUUUGCGGAUCGUAAAGCUCAGUUGGGAGAGAAGAACGAGGGUGGGAGUGGAAAGUUCAGACUGUGACGGUAGCGUAACAGAAAGGGACGGCUAACUACGUG